UUGAUAUGUAUAAGGGCAAAAGGUAACAUAGACCAACCUCUUAGAUUAGAUUCUCAAAGCUUCUUAAAGGAAAAAUGCACCAAGCUGGCUUUUUUGCCCUUCUGUGGGUUUAGGGAGAAAUAGUUGGACCUCAUCAGGCUUCGACCACCCCAGCAACAAGCCUUGCUUUCAGUAGCCUGGCAACAGAAAUGGACGAGUCUGUCUCAACAGGAGCAUGAGUACCUCGGUGUGCUUGGAUAGAGGGUGCAGGCAGCGAGCUUCUGCUUAGUUACUUCCAGGCGAAAUCACAGACGUUUCUGUGUUUGGUUUCCCAGCCAGCGCUGCAGUAGGAUUUGAAGCACUUCGAGCAGGAUGACAUUGGAUAUAAAGUAUGGGAGAACUAAGAACGCCAACAAUCUUGGGAAAACUGAUAGUUGGUGACAACCUGAUGAUGUCGCCUACACCAUUGUGACAUCACCUCGCCACACGUCAUGAGCCCCUUUAUGACAUCAUCCUGGCUCCCCAGUUUAUAAGUGAGUGUUUCAGUAAGUAAGAAUCAGUGCACCUGGACA